rnacentral:rRNA from 1 species
GACGAACGCUGGCGGCGAUGCUUAACACAUGCAAGUUCNAACGGUAAGGCCCCUUCGGGGGUACACGAGUGGCGAACGGGUGAGUAACACGUGAGCAACCUGCCCUUGACUCUGGGAUAACAGUUGGAAACAGCUGCUAAUACCGGAUACGACCUUCGAUGACAUCAUCUGGAGGUGGAAAGCGCUUUAGCGGUCAAGGAUGGGCUCGCGGCCUAUCAGCUUGUUGGUGAGGUAACGGCUCACCAAGGCUUCGACGGGUAGCCGGCCUGAGAGGGCGACCGGCCACACUGGGACUGAGAUACGGCCCAGACUCCUACGGGAGGCAGCAGUGGGGAAUAUUGCACAAUGGGCGCAAGCCUGAUGCAGCAACGCCGCGUGCGGGAUGACGGCCUUCGGGUUGUAAACCGCUUUCAGUUCCGACGAAGCGCAAGUGACGGUAGGAACAGAAGAAGGACCGGCCAACUACGUGCCAGCAGCCGCGGUGAUACGUAGGGUCCGAGCGUUGUCCGGAAUUAUUGGGCGUAAAGGGCUUGUAGGCGGUUUGUCACGUCGGAAGUGAAAACUCAGGGCUCAACCCUGAGCCUGCUUCCGAUACGGGCAAACUAGAGGAAUGCAGGGGAGAAUGGAAUUCCUGGUGGAGCGGUGGAAUGCGCAGAUAUCAGGAGGAACACCGGUGGCGAAGGCGGUUCUCUGGGCAUUUCCUGACGCUGAGAAGCGAAAGCGUGGGGAGCAAACAGGCUUAGAUACCCUGGUAGUCCACGCCGUAAACGGUGGGCACUAGGCGUGGGGAACAUUCCACGUUCUCCGUGCCGAAGCUAACGCAUUAAGUGCCCCGCCUGGGGAGUACGGCCGCAAGGCUAAAACUCAAAGGAAUUGACGGGGGCCCGCACAAGCGGCGGAGCAUGCGGAUUAAUUCGAUGCAACGCGAAGAACCUUACCUGGGUUUGACAUCACCGCAAAACCGGCAGAGAUGUCGGGUCCUUCGGGGGCGGUGACAGGUGGUGCAUGGCUGUUGUCAGCUCGUGUCGUGAGAUGUUGGGUUAAGUCCCGCAACGAGCGCAACCCUCGUUCGAUGUUGCCAGCGGGUUAUGCCGGGGACUCAUCGAAG